rnacentral:lncRNA from 1 species
CCGCCCCUCGACUCGGGAGACUGUAAAAGUUUGUCUCAGCUCCAGCAUCCCGAGCCUCAACACGCCCUCAGGUAAAGCCCCUCCAGCUCGAAUAAUGAAGAGACAGUCAAUGCAAUCUGCAAGCGGCGGCCCAUUGUACGCAGCUGAUGGAAAGAAGGCAACCGGGGCCGGCGAGGGCUCCUUGCCCUCUCUCCUCUCCUCAAAUAAACGCGCUCAUGUCUCCUGAUCAGUUAAAAGGUGAAAUGAACACGAUUAAAAGACAAAAAGAGAGACAGAGAUAGAGAGAUAGAGAGAGAGAGGGAGAGAAGAAAAGAAGGAAGAAAAAGAACAAGCUUUCUACAUAUAAAUUCUAAAUUUUAUUCCUCAUGUAGUACAAAGGCAGGCAGUCGAGGGCAGAGAAAGCAGGCAGGGAGAGGGAGACAGGGAGAAGCAAAGAGAACGUGGAGAGAUACGGAGCGAGUGGAAGAGGAAGGAGGAAGGAGAGCAAGCUCCAGGGAACUGGAGGCGCCCUGGACGCCCAGCCCUCCGGCCCAGCCGCCCUCGGACUCUGGACCGCGAGUCGUGGGCACCAGAAGCGAGACUCGGCCAAGUCCUGCCCUACCAGAGAGACCACAGAACAGAAAUAACCCUGUUUUAUCAAGCCCAUCUGGAGAGAUGAACAUGCCUGCAAUCGUUGGGAGAAAGGGAUUGAGAAACGGAAAUUUCACCACCCUCCAGCCAAACUUUCGAGGACUGAUUGCAGAGGAACUGGUGCUCCAGAUGUUGCACUAGAGGCGCUGCAAGUGUGAGCAGAUGGCAGUAGACCUACCUCACAAGUGGGAGCAGAUAUUCUCAAUGUUUCUAUUGAAAUAUCUUUAUUUCCAUUUGCAAGAGGAGCUCUGGAGCCUCAUUCUUGUGGUAGCUACCAAGUUCUGAUAUAAGCUGUUUUCAUCAGGGAACUUUGGCAAGAGAAUGGCUGGAUCAGCAAGUCCAUCUCCAUCAUGGAACAACAACUUGAAGCUCAUCUCUGUUGAUGGUGAGUCAAUGUCAUCUUCAGACAGGAACAAUCAUGCUAGUGUUAUUUUAUGUUUUCAGUGUUAUUAAACAACAGUUUGGUUUAAAUUUUGUUUUAUGAGACAUUAUUAGGAUUUUGAGCCAUAAUAUUUCAUUACUUGAGUCUAAAGGAUUGCAUAAAAAUCAACCUAAUAGUAAAAAGGAAAGGGAAUAAUAAUUUAGUGUUUAUGAAUAUACCUAAAAGUAGUUUGAUUAGCUUUUGUCAUCUCUGUUCUUAUUUUUAUAUAGCACAUGCUGGCUAACUUAUUCAUGACUUUUGUUUAAAUAAAUAUUGGCCAGCACAGAAUCACACAUACAUGAUUAUUUUAAAAUGUAUUACUGAUUUCAGGAAAUUUCAGGAUAACUGUAGUGUAAUUGUGAUGAUUCCCUUCCAUUUUCAAAUACAUAGAUUAUUUGGUCUUUCAUCUGGUAGCCAUUGUUAAUGCUUACUGCUGCUUGUUAUCCCAGAGAUACAGUGGAUGACAACAUAUAUACAUAUAUACAUUUAAUAUUAUUACAAGAGUUAUUAAUAUUAAUAUUAAGAUUGAACUCUUCCUCCCUAUGCUCUGUAAGUAAUUAAGUAUAACUUGAUGCAUUCUUCAAAAUCUCUUUACUCAAAAACAUUAUUUUUAGAUGAUUUGUCUCAUUAAUAUUAUUAUUUUCACAUUAAGCCUACAUCAAAUAUUUUUAGUUGGACUAGACUUUGGAAAUUUCUUCAGUAUUGUAAUGCAAGUCAAACAGAAUUAUUUAGUGUAUAAACUUGAGUAUCAGGAGUUCCCGUUGUGGCACAGUGGAAACAAAUCCGACUAGGAACCUUGAGGUUGCGGGUUCAAUCCCUGGUCUCGCUCAGUGGGUUAAGGAUCUGGUGUUGCCGUCAGCUGUGGUGUAGGUUGCAGACGCAGCUUGGAUCCUGCGUUACUGUGGCUUGGGUAUAGGCUGGCAGUUGUAGCUCCGAUUUGACCCCUAGCCUGGAAACCUUCAUAUGCCAUGGAUGCAGCCAUAAAAAGCCAAAAAAAAACCCCAACCCCCCCCCAAAACAAACAAACAAACAAAAACCCCCAUGAGUGUCAUAACUAGGAUAAUUUCUGUUCUAUCUAUUAUGAUAAGACACCAUUUCUUGAAUAAUUAAUAUUUGCUCAGCCCUAUGCUAAGUGCUUUCUAUAUCUUAUUGUAUCUUUACAACAUUAUUAUAGGGCAGAAAUAAUUAUCCCAGGUUUAUAGAUAAGGAAACUAAGACUCAAAGAGUUCAGUAAUUUAUAUAAGUUCAGUAAUUUGGAAUCCAACCUUGGACUACCUGACCUCAGACCUUCUGGGCAAAGCUCCAGUUUAUAAAUGUGGUGUUAAGCUGCAUGAAGCUUUUAUAUAUGUAACUUAAGACUGGGCUGCUUUACUUUUGAAGCAUAGUCUGACUAGUUCACAGUGAUUUUAUACUACUGAUUGAGGUGUACCAUGAUGUGUCUGUGUAUAACAUUUACUUUUGUGAGUUUACGGGGACAUAACUUUUGACAGGCUGUCUACAUAUUAUAUGUACUUGAUGUUGUUUGUGUAUACAAAUGCAUCUAUGAAUUCUUCAAGUAGAAUCUUGAUGAUGCUUCCUUGGUAAACUUGGUGUAUCUUUAGUGUCUGCCCUACUCUUCAGGUAGUAGAAUUGCUGCUCAAUUUUGCUAGAGGCUGAGACCCUUGUUUUGGGAGAACAUUUACCCAUUAUUAUAAGACAGGUUGGCCAAAAUGGUGAUGUUAAUUUUUUGUCAGAUACAUAAUGAAAUAUGAAAUGUUAGUUUGACCAUUGUUGAACAAAGCCAAGUGUGUACAUUGUUUAGAUAUUAUGGAAACCUAUGGUCCUGUGAUUUUUCAAAGGUUUCUGUUGUUUAUAAGAUAUAUAUCGUGCUCUCUUUAGAGGACAUACAGGAUUUUUGUUAUUGGGCCAUUGCAUACUGCUUCAGGAAUAUCUCUGAUAGCCUUCUCCCUUACCACCCAACCUCAUAUAUACUCCACACAUGUUAACCUCAGUUAAACUGAAUAGUCACCCUACCAUGACUAGGGUGACUAGUUGGCAUUGUGAUCUUCCCUCCUUCCUCCAUGAUGAAUACCAAAUUUUCAUUUAAGAUUCAACUUUGUGGAGUUCCUAUUGGAGCUCAGUGGGUUAAGAACCUGACAUAGGUCCAUGAGGAUACGAGUUCAAUCCCUGCCCUCACUCAGUGGGUUAAGGAUCCAGCAUUGCUGCAAACUGUGGUGUAGGUCACAUAUAUGGCUUGUAUCCUGUAUUGCUGUGGCAUAGCCCUCAGCUGCAGCUCUGACUUGACCCCUAGCCUGGGAACUUCCAUGUGCCCCAGGUGAGGCAGUAAAAGAAAAAAAAAAAAAAAAAA